rnacentral:rRNA from 1 species
AUUGAACGCUGGCGGCAUGCUUUACACAUGCAAGUCGGACGAGUGGCGAACGGGUGAGUAACGCAUCGGAACGUACCGAGUCAUGGGGGAUAACUGUCCGAAAGGACAGCUAAAACCGCAUAUUAUUCGAGCGGCCGAUGUCUGAUUAGCUGGUUGGCGGGGUAAAGGCCCACCAGGGCGACGUUCAGUAGCGGGUCUGAGAGGAUGAUCCGCCACACGGGGACUGAGACACGGCCCAGACUCCUACGGGGGGCGGCAGGGGGAAAUUUUGGAAAAUGGGCGAAGGCCUGAUCCGGCCCUGCCGCGUGUCUGAGGAGGGCCUUCGGGUUGUAAAGUACUUUUGUCAGGGAAGCGGUACCUGAAGAGUAAGCAACGGCUAACUACGUGCCAGCAGCCGCGGUAAUUC